rnacentral:lncRNA from 1 species
UUUCCACAUUCUUCUACACUCUUCUCUCACAAAAAAAAAUCAGAACCUCCCUCUUCUCUCUUCCCCCUCCUCCCUCACGUGUUCCUUUCUUUCACUCCCACCAUUACCUAUUUCACUUUUGUAGCAAAACCAAGCUAGAAAUGACAUUUCAUGUUGUAGAAAAGUGAUUUUUGUGUUGUGUUUUGAGCGUUAGAGGCAAGCUUGAGCAAGAAACAAGAAUAUUGAAGCUAGGGUUUGGCUUGGCAAGAAGAUUGAGGCAGGGGCUGAAUGUAAGUAUAAGUGAUUAAUAGCUUAAAUUGAGGUAAAAGUGAUUAUUUUGGGAAGAAAUUCAAGUUAUGUUGAUUGAUUAGAUGUAUAAGUUGUUACUGACUUUGGGAUUCUAUAUGACUCUGUUUUUGGGCUGUUAGUAGUAUAAAUUUUGUUGUUGUUUCUGUUUGGAAUGAAAAGCUAAAAGUUAAAAGCCAUAAGUUGUUCCAAAAGCUUCCGUAGUUGAUUAUUGGGUUAAAUAUGUUAGAAUUUCUUUAUGACCGGUGUAGAAGCUGUGUAUACAUAUUUUCUUUGAUUCUGGAAAAUUUGAGUUGAAAUUGAAUUGUCUAGAGGUCAUAAGCUGUCAGUAAGCUGUUUUGGGAAUUUUGCCUUAAAUGACUAAGUUGUGGAUUAACCUGCUGUAUAAGUGGUUCAUGGGGCUGAGUAUAUAUGUUGGAACAUCUUUGUUGAAGUCUGGGUCGAAAUUAAUUUGAUAGAAGCCAUAAGCUGCUAAUUAAGCUGUUUGGAAGUGCUUAAAUAGCCAAACGACGUACUUCUGGUGCAAGGACUGAAAUUGAAAUUUUCGUGUAUGCUGGUUGAUGAAGUAAGAGAAUGUCACAAAUGAGUUGAGUUAUUUUGGAAAGAGCAAGAGCUAUAAGCCAAGACUUAAGCUAUUUUGGAAAAUGGAUUAUGGAGUUUUGAAGCUAGCAAAAGCUGAAAAUUUUGGAUAAGCUGCUUGCAAUUUCGGGACUAAUGCCAAGACGUACAAGUUAUUAUACAACAUGAUGGUUCGUGAUGAAGGAGCAGAAGUCGCUUGAAGUUUCGCGUCAGUAGUGUUAGUGUUACUUCAGAGGUAUAAGACGGGAAUUUUUUUGUAUCUUAUUCAGAGGAAAUUUUUAUUGUAGUAAUUUUAAUGUAUCCAUUGCCAAGUUUAACACUCAUGCUAGAUAUCCUAGGUAAUUUCUAGUAGGGGUGUUACAUGUUGUUUCCAACUUAAUAAAGUUACUAAUUUCGGUUACUUAUGAUUUUUCUCAUCAAUUAAUGCACAUAACCCUCUUUCUUAAAAGAUGUUUUUUUUUCUCACAC